rnacentral:rRNA from 1 species
GUGACAAUAAAUACUGAUACAGGUGGUUUUACACCUCUUGUAAUUGGAAUGAGUACAAUUUAAAUCUCUUAACGAGGAACAAUUGGAGGGCAAGUCUGGUGCCAGCAGCCGCGGUAAUUCCAGCUCCAAUAGCGUAUAUUAAAGUUGUUGCAGUUAAAAAGCUCGUAGUUGAACCUUGGACCUGGCCGACCGGUCUGCCUCACCGCAUGCACUGGUUUGGCCGGGUCUUUCCUUCUGGCAAGCCGCAUGCCCUUCACUGGGUGUGUUGGGGAACCAGGACUUUUACUUUGAAAAAAUUAGAGUGUUCAAAGCAGGCAUUAGCUCGAAUACAUUAGCAUGGAAUAAUAGAAUAGGACGUGUGGUUCUAUUUUGUUGGUUUCUAGGACCACCGUAAUGAUUAAUAGGGAUAGUCGGGGC